rnacentral:rRNA from 1 species
UACGGAAGGUGCGAGCGUUAAUCGGAAUUACUGGGCGUAAAGCGCACGUAGGUGGUUUUAUAAGUCGGGAUGUGAAAGCCCCGGGCUUAACCUGGGAAUUGCAUCCGAGACUGUCUGACUCGAGUAUGCGUAGAGGGAAGUGGAAUUCCAGGUGAUAGCGGUGAAAUGACGUCAGAUAUCUGGAGGAACACCAAUGGCGAAGGCGAACUUCCUGGGGCAAUACUGAGCACUGAGGCACGAAAGCUAGGGGAGCAAACAGG